UACGUAGGGGGCAAGCGUUGUCCGGAAUCAUUGGGCGUAAAGAGCGUGUAGGCGGUCCGGUAAGUCGGCUGUGAAAGUCCAAGGCUCAACCUUGGGAUGCCGGUCGAUACUGCCGGACUAGAGUUCGGAAGAGGCGAGUGGAAUUCCCGGUGUAGCGGUGAAAUGCGUAGAUAUUGGGAGGAACACCAGUGGCGAAGGCGGCUCACUGGACCGGUUCUGACGCUGAUGCGCGAAAGCGUGGGGAGCAAACGGG
rnacentral:rRNA from 1 species